UGACCUCAAAUCAGGUAGGACUACCCGCUGAACUUAAGCAUAUCAAUAAGCGGAGGAAAAGAAACUAACAAGGAUUCCCCUAGUAACUGCGAGUGAAGCGGGAAAAGCUCAAAUUUAAAAUCUGGCAGUCUUCGAUUGUCCGAGUUGUAAUUUAGAGAAGCGUUAUCCGCGUUGGACCGUGUACAAGUCUCCUGGAACGGAGCGUCAUAGAGGGUGAGAAUCCCGUCCAUGGCACGGACUACCAGUGCAUUGUGAUACGCUCUCAAAGAGUCGAGUUGUUUGGGAAUGCAGCUCUAAAUGGGUGGUAAAUUCCAUCUAAAGCUAAAUAUAGGCGAGAGACCGAUAGCGAACAAGUACCGUGAGGGAAAGAUGAAAAGAACUUUGGAAAGAGAGUUAAACAGUACGUGAAAUUGUUGAAAGGGAAACGCUUGAAGUCAGUCGCGUUGUUCAGGGAUCAGCCUUGCUUUGCUUGGUGUACUUCCUGUUCGACGGGUCAGCAUCAGUUUCGAUCGUUGGAAAAAGUGCGCAGGAAUGUGGCAUCCUCGGAUGUGUUAUAGCCUGUGUUCGUAUACAGCGGUUGGGACUGAGGAAUCAGCACUCGAUGCUUGGGAUGCUGGCAUAAUGGCUUUAAGCGACCCGUCUUGAAACACGGACCAAGGAGUCUAACAUGCCCGCGAGUGUUUGGGUGGAAAACCCGAGCGCGUAAUGAAAGUGAAAAGUUGGGAUCUCUGUCGUGGAGAGCACCGACGCCCGGACCAGACGUUUUCUGACGGCCCUGCGGUAGAGCGUGUAUGUUGGGACCCGAAAGAUGGUGAACUAUGCCUGAAUAGGGCGAAGCCAGAGGAAACUCUGGUGGAGGCUCGUAGCGAUUCUGACGUGCAAAUCGAUCGUCGAAUUUGGGUAUAGGGG
rnacentral:rRNA from 1 species